UACGUAGGGGGCAAGCGCUGUUCGGAAUUAUUGGGCGUAAAGCGCGCGCAGGCGGGCUCUUAAGGCUGAUGUGAAAGCCCACGGCUCAACCGUGGAGGGUCAUUGGAAACUUGGAGACUUGUGUGUAGGAGAAGAAAGUGUAAUUCCACGUGUAGCGGUGAAAUGCGUAGAGAUGUGGAGGAACACCAGUGGAGAAGGCGACUUUCCGGCCUAUAACUGGCCCUGAGGGCCGAAAGCGUGGGCAGGCAAAACG
rnacentral:rRNA from 1 species